UUUUUGGAGAGUUUGAUCCUGGCUCAGGAUGAACGCUGGCGGCGUGCCUAAUACAUGCAAGUCGAGCGGUAAGGCUCUCACUCUGUAUUUAAAUAGUUGAAUAUAGUGUGAGAGUACACGAGCGGCGGACGGCUGAGUAACGCGUAGGAAUGUACCCCAAAGUGAGGGAUAACUGCCUGAAAAGGUAGCUAAUACCGCAUGUGAUCUUCGGAUUAAAGCUUUAUGCGCUUUGGGAGCGGCCUGCGUAAGAUUAGCUUGUUGGUGAGGUAAUGGCUCACCAAGGCUAUGACGGGUAGGGGGCGUGAGAGCGUGGCCCCCAACAUUGGGACUGAGACACUGCCCAAACUCCUAC
rnacentral:rRNA from 1 species